UGUGUUUCAUCUCGUAAUGUCCUUUUCGUAAUUUCCAGCAGCAGCUUCCAAUUAUGUUUUCACUUUGUGUCACUUUGUAUCUUCCAGAGGUUUGCGAUUAUGCUGUUACUUACUGUCUGGAAAUGCUGCCUUCGUUGUGAGGAUGGAAGAAGUAGCUACAUAUUAUCCUCUGUAUUAGUAUAGCUACACACUAUUAUUCCAUGAUGUAAUCUAUUGCAAUGUAUCUUUUUGUACUUUCCAGCAGCCUGCAAUCAUGCCUUUCCUUCCUGUAUUAAUUGUGAGGAUGGAAGAAGUAGCUACAUAUCAUCCUCUGUAUAUACUAUUAGAAGUAGCUACACUAUUAUCCCAUAUUGUAAUCUAUUGCAAUGUAUCUUUUUGUACUUUCCAGCAGCCUGCAAUCAUGCCCUUCCUUCCUGUAUUAAUUGUGAGGAUGGAAGAAGUAGCUACAUAUCAUCCUCAGUAUGUACUAUUAGAGUCACCGCCGAGUGGCCUAAGACUACCCACAUGCUGUCCUGAAGACCACCUAUCAACCCAGACUCUAGAAGAAGCUCUGCAGCACAAGUGGAAUCAAGAAUGAGCUCCGGGGGGCAGCAUGAGCCAAUAAUAAUAAUGGCA